GACGUAGGGCGCGAGCGUUGUCCGGAUUUAUUGGGCGUAAAGAGCUCGUAGGCGGCUUGUCGCGUCGACUGUGAAAACCCGCGGCUCAACUGCGGGCCUGCAGCCGAUACGGGCAGGCUAGAGUUCGGUAGGGGAGACUGGAAUUCCUGGUGUAGCGGUGAAAUGCGUAGAUAUCUGGAGGAACACCGGUGGCGAAGGCGGCAUCCUGGACCGACACUGACGCUGAGGAGCGAAAGCCAGGGGAGCAAACGGG
rnacentral:rRNA from 1 species